UGUGCGGAAAGAGGUGGGGAAGAGUUCCCGAGACCCGCGGGGGUUGGGGGGAGUGUGGGCGGGGGUCGUCCGCUCGCGGCGGCUCACCACGACGGGUCCGGGGCCUGGAGUCCGGAAGGCCGGCGCGCGGGGCUGCGUCCCGGAGGCAGAGGCCGCGUGACUGGGAGGGCGGCGAGCCGGACGUGGGUCACGGGGUGUAAAGGAGGAAGUGCCACCGACGGGCCCGCCAAGAUGUCACCAAUGGAAACGCGUCCUGCAGUCUAGCUGCUCUCUGGAAAAUGAAUGAUGGGAACAGAUGCAUGGAGACGAGAUGGGAAGAAGUGAGACAAGUUUAGGAAGAACUGAUGAAGUACACCUGCUAAUAACUGAGAAGGAAUAUUGAAUUAAAAUAUCACUGAUCUGGAAACAAUCAACAAAACAAUGCAUUCAGAGAACGAACAUCAACAGCUGCUAACAUCACAAAGAAGGAACACCAACCAAUACGUGCCUCUGGCAGGAGUACACAGCACCUCCCAUGCAGUAUUUCAAAAUAAAAUCUCAACGGAAUCAGGAUAGCCUGUAGAGGAUAACUACCAUUUUACAGGAAAUGCAGAAGACAGAGAUUCAAACACCACCAUGGGAAUGCAGUCAGAAAAACCCAGAGUGUGGGGAAGGAAACCUACGUGACACACAACCUGGUUUGUUCAAAGAAAAAACUUUUAAGAAUAAAGAACCUUUAGAUCGUCACUGUCUAAUAAGGUAGCCUCUUGUCAUACUUGACAUGUGGCUGGUACAAGUUGAGAUGUGCUAUAAAAUAAGCAUACACUGGAUUUUGAAAGCUUUGUUCAAAAAAAAAAGCAUGAAAAAUAUAAUAUAAAAAUUUACGGGAGAAAAAAAAAUUUAUUGGGGGACUGCCCUGGUGGCGGGCACAGUGGU